AUACCUUUCUCGGCCUUUUGGCUAAGAUCAAGUGUAGUAUCUGUUCUUAUCAGUUUAAUAUCUGAUAUGUGGACCAUUGGUCCACACGAUAUUAAAUUUAUUUUUUAAGGGGGAAGGCUUAUCAAAUAGCUUGCUACUUGGGCAUUUGUGUGUCGCCCAUGCGUUGCACUACUGCUCGGGCCUGGCACACCCCAC